UGCCUCAGUAACGGCGAGUGAAGCGGCAACAGCUCAAAUUUGAAAUCUGGCCUUGGCCCGAGUUGUAAUUUGUAGAGGAUGCUUUUGGUGCGGUGCCUUCCGAGUUCCCUGGAACGGGACGCCUUAGAGGGUGAGAGCCCCGUACGGUUGGACGCCUAGCCUCUGUAAAGCUCCUUCGACGAGUCGAGUAGUUUGGGAAUGCUGCUCAAAAUGGGAGGUAAAUUUCUUCUAAAGCUAAAUACCGGCCAGAGACCGAUAGCGCACAAGUAGAGUGAUCGAAAGAUGAAAAGCACUUUGAAAAGAGGGUUAAAUAGCACGUGAAAUUGUUGAAAGGGAAGCGUUUAUGACCAGACUUUUUCCUGGCGGAUCAUGCGGUGUUCUCACCGUUGCACUUCGCCAGGUUUAGGCCAGCAUCGGUUCUCGCAGGGGGAUAAAAGUUUUGGGAACGUGGCUCUUCGGAGUGUUAUAGCCCAUUUCAUAAUACCCUUUUGGGGACCGAGGUACGCGCUCUGCAAGGAUGCUGGCGUAAUGGUCAUCAACGACCCGUCUUGAAACACGGACCAAGGAGUCGAACAUUUGUGCGAGUGUUUGGGUGUUAAACCCUCACGCGUAAUGAAAGUGAACGGAGGUGAGAGCCGCAAGGUGCAUCAUCGACCGAUCCUGAUGUCUUCGGAUGGAUUUGAGUAAGAGCAUAACUGUUCGGACCCGAAAGAUGGUGAACUAUGCGUGGAUAGGGUGAAGCCAGAGGAAACUCUGGUGGAGGCUCGCAGCGGUUCUGACGUGCAAAUCGAUCGUCAAAUCUGCGCAUGGGGGGCGAAGACUAAUCGAAACCAUC
rnacentral:rRNA from 1 species